rnacentral:lncRNA from 1 species
GUCAGUCUUGGCUGGCAGACCUGUACUCCGUACUCCGUACUUCGUAGUCGCAGCGGCGCGGUCUUCGGCAGUCUAGUCAUCCACCGCCAUCCUGGGCCCCACGUGUUGCCUGACCAUUCCUGAGCCCAGGUGGGAGCCGUGGCUGAGGUGACGGUCUCAAAGUGGAAGAGCUUACUGUCACAGCAACUCCUUUGCAAGAUGCCCCGGUAAAUCACGUUGCAGAGACCCCAACUCUGCCUUCCUGGAACUAGGCCUGCGUUUUCUCUGAACCAUUAUUUCAUGGGGAAAAUGAAAUCUACUUCAUGUGCCUGGUCUACUUACUCCUUCAGAAGUGAUUUCUGAGCCGUAAGAUACAUGAGAAAAAAAUGAAGGGGAAAAGGCAGUAUUUAUAUUAACUACAUGAUGAUAAGGAUGUUUCUGGUCACAGUGAAAAGCCAUGCUAGAAUUGUAGUGUCAUAGAAUAAUGUGGAAGUUUAGUUCGUGUUGUCUGAUCUAUUUAAUAAUUUAAUAAGGUUAUCUCUUCCAAGACACCUUCCCUUCUUCCUCAGCCAGAAAGGAUCUUUCCCUGAGAGUCAUUAGUAGCUCUGGGCUCCUGGAACCAAGCUCAGGUGCCUAAUUGAACUCUGGUCUCUUCCCACAGCCCCCAGCAGGGACUGGUGCUUAGUGAGAGUGGACUGCCAGAUUCCUUGAGUGUGGGGGAUUUGGGUGAAUGAGGGUAGCAAGCCUCCAGCGUGCUUGGGUCUGCGGUGACCCUAUGCAUUCCUU